CGGUAAUUCCAGCUCCAAUAGCGUAUACUAAAGUUGUUGCAGUUAAAAAGCUCGUAGUUGGAUUUCUGCGGGGACGGAGCGGCCGGUCGCAACUUGCGACUCGAGCUAGCGCUUUCCCCGCAUCCUGCCGCGAACCGUGCUACCAUUAGUUUGGUGGCGCUGGGGAUCGGCUCGAUUACUUUGAGAAAAAUAGAGUGUUCAAAGCAGGCCACACGCCUUGAAUAAGUUAGCAUGGAAUAAUGACUAAGGACUUUGGUUCUUUUCGUUGGUGUUCGGGACUGAAGUAAUGAUUGAUAGGGACAGUUGGGGCGGUCCGUAUUCCAAAGCGAGAGGUGAAAUUCUUAGACCUUCGGAAGACGAACAGCUGCGAAAGCGUUCCGCAAGGAUGUUCCCUUUGAUCAAGAACGAAAGUUGGGGGAUCGAAGACGAUCAGGUACCGUCGUAGUCUCAACUAUAAACUAUACCAGCUAGGGAUCGGCCAACGUUUAAUUAUUCGACUUGGUCGGCACCUUAUGAGAAAUCAAAGCAUCUGGGUUCCGGGGGGAGUAUGGUCGCAAGGCUGAAACUUAAAGGAAUUGACGGAAGGGCACCACCAGCCGUGGAGCCUGUGGCUUAAUUUGACUCAGCACGGGAAAACUUACCAGGUCCGGACAUAGUAAGGAUUGACAGAUUGAUAGCUCUUUCUUGAUUCUGUGGGUGGUGGUGCAUGGCCGUUUUUAGUCGGUGGAUGUGAUCUGUCUGCUUAAUUGCGUUAACGGACGAGACCCCAGCCUGCUAAAUAGCGCGGCCGAGCUUUGCUCGGUGCGAGCUUCUUAGAGGGACCAUGAUGCGCGAUAGCACAAGGAAGUUUGGGGCAACAACAGGUCUGUGAUGCCCUUAGAUGUUCUGGGCCGCACACGGGCUACACUGGCGCCUGCAACGAGCAUAUCAGCUGGCCCGAGAGGGUCUUGGCUAAUCUUUGGAACCGGCGCCGUGCUUGGGAUUGACCAUUGCAAUUGUUGGUCAUGCAACGAGGAAUGCCUUGUAAACGCGAGUCAUCAGCUCGCAUUGAAUACGUCCCUGCCCUUUGUACACACCGCCCGUCGCUCCUACCGAUGAAUGUUCCGAUGAAAUUUUCGGAGAGCGCCGGAGAACGGGGCUCUGCCCUGCAGAACUGGAGGCUCAAAGUCACUUAAAUCUGAACAUUUCGAGGAAGGAGAAGUCGUAACAAGGUAACC
rnacentral:rRNA from 1 species